rnacentral:sRNA from 1 species
UUUUAGCCCCGAUAGAAGUGGAAAUCCUUGUGUGCUGGGGUUCGGCACACAAGAUUGAAACGGAUUGCGGGACCAAUC